UACGAAGGGGGCUAGCGUUGUUCGGAAUUACUGGGCGUAAAGCGAACGUAGGCGGUGUUCCAUGUCAGAGGUGAAAGCCUGGGGCUCAACUCCAGAAUUGCCUUUGAAACGGGGACGCUUGAGUCCGAGAGAGGAUGGCGGAAUUCCUAGUGUAGAGGUGAAAUUCGUAGAUAUUAGGAAGAACGCCGGUGGCGAAGGCGGCCAUCUGGCUCGGUACUGACGCUCAGGUUCGAAAGCGUGGGGAGCAAACAGG
rnacentral:rRNA from 1 species